AGGGAAACAGAAAUGCAUAUUAUAAUAUUCAUAAGCAGCAUUGUCUAAGAAACAGAUUUCUAAGGAAGAUGGUUCAAAGGCCAAUAGGACCUCUUCCCAUUAUAUCAGUGUAAAUGAUAACUGUUUAACAAGGUCAAGUAGUAUCCAAGCUGUCCAACCAACAAAUACACUGGACUUCUACUUGUCUCUAUCCACAUCUACAUUAAUGAUCAAGCGCCAAUUGGUGCAGCACCACAUUUAUGCACAAUAAUGAAAA